rnacentral:piRNA from 4 species
GCCUUUUGGCUAAGAUCAAGUGUAGUA